rnacentral:rRNA from 1 species
CAUGCAAGUCGAGGGGAAACGACAUCGAAAGCUUGCUUUUGAUGGGCGUCGACCGGCGCACGGGUGAGUAACGCGUAUCUAACCUGCCCAUCACUUGGGGAUAACCUUGCGAAAGUAAGACUAAUACCCAAUGAUAUCUCUAGAAGGCAUCUGAAAGAGAUUAAAGAUUUAUCGGUGAUGGAUGGGGAUGCGUCUGAUUAGCUUGUUGGCGGGGUAACGGCCCACCAAAGCAACGAUCAGUAGGGGUUCUGAGAGGAAGGUCCCCCACAUUGGAACUGAGACACGGUCCAAACUCCUACGGGAGGCAGCAGUGAGGAAUAUUGGUCAAUGGACGAGAGUCUGAACCAGCCAAGUAGCGUGCAGGAUGACGGCCCUAUGGGUUGUAAACUGCUUUUAUAAGGGAAUAAAGUGAGUCUCGUGAGACUUUUUGCAUGUACCUUAUGAAUAAGGACCGGCUAAUUCCGUGCCAGCAGCCGCGGUAAUACGGAAGGUCCGGGCGUUAUCCGGAUUUAUUGGGUUUAAAGGGAGCGUAGGCCGGAGAUUAAGCGUGUUGUGAAAUGUAGAUGCUCAACAUCUGCACUGCAGCGCGAACUGGUUUCCUUGAGUACGCACAAAGUGGGCGGAAUUCGUGGUGUAGCGGUGAAAUGCUUAGAUAUCACGAAGAACUCCGAUUGCGAAGGCAGCUCACUGGAGCGCAACUGACGCUGAAGCUCGAAAGUGCGGGUAUCGAACAGGAUUAGAUACCCUGGUAGUCCGCACGGUAAACGAUGGAUGCCCGCUGUUGGUCUGAAUAGGUCAGCGGCCAAGCGAAAGCAUUAAGCAUCCCACCUGGGGAGUACGCC